rnacentral:rRNA from 1 species
UGCAGGCUGCAACUCGCCUGUAUGAAGUCGGAAUUGCUAGUAAUCGUGGAUCAGCAUGCCACGGUGAAUACGUUCCCGGGCCUUGUACACACCGCCCGUCACACCAUGAGAGCCGGGAACACCCGAAGUUUUCCGUAGUCUAACCUAUAUGGAGGACGCGGCCGAAGGUGGGUUUGGUAAUUGGGGUGAAGUCGUAACAAGGUAAC